GCGGCCCCGCGUCCUCCCCGUCUUUCCCGGGGCCCCGGGGCCUCCGGGAUCGCUGUCCCACCCCCCCCACCGCGGGUUGCGAGCGGCCUUGUCGCCGAGGCUGGGCUUGGGAGUGUAAGCACAGCUGUCACGCGCAGUGACUCUGGUCUCUCCCAGGCAGUGUGUGGAGCGCUCUGGACAGGAGACUCCAGGACCCGGGACCAGCUGCCUCAGUCCUCUCCUGCAGGAUUCCAUCACCUCUCCCAGCGCCGCCUCCAGAGUCCUCUGGCAUCUUUGAGAGCAGUGGACAAUGGAUAAAUCUCUGGAACCCUUGACCUUCAGAGAUGUGGCCGUAGAAUUCUUGCACGAGGAGUAGGACUGCCUGGACCAGGAGCAGUGGGAUUUGUACUGGGAUAUGAUGUUUGAGACCUACAGGAACCUGGUGUCCUUGGGUCUUGCUGUGUCUACGCCUGCGCUGGUCAUCUUGUUGGAGCAAAAAAAUGGAGCCCUGGGAUGUGAAGAGAAGUGCAGAUCCCGUCCUCCUCCCAGAUACCUGUACUGUGGAGUACCUGAUUAAAGCCAACCAGCCAAAUCAGGACAGAUGUUUGUGGCAAGUUGUUGUUGUCAACAGCAAAACGUCAACCAUGGAGGAACUUUGGGAAAACAAAUAAUUUGGACUCAAGUCAUUGUUUGAACCUGAAUAGCAGAAAUGGAAACAUUUCAGCAUCAAUGCCUGAGAAUUUUGCUGUAUGUAAGAAUAUGUUUAUCCCUGCUGAGCCUCAUGAGAUGCAUGCUACAAAGAAACUUGAGGUCUUUAGUAUGACUAGAGAAACUGUCAGGUAUCCUGAGCAUCAUAGUCAUCAGAUGAUAUAACUCAAAUAGGGGAGAGUCUCUGUACAAGUAACAAAAGGAGGAAACGUAUUGAUGAGAAACCAGUACAUUUGAAUCUUUGUCAACAUUUUGAAGAUAAACAGCAUAAAUGUAAUGAAAGUGGGGGUAAACUCAGCUUUAAAUUUCAUGUCAGUCAGCUUAAGAGAUCUCUGUUAGGAGAGAAUAUUUUUCAGUAAUAUACAUGCGGUGAAAUGUCUAAAAUGUGUUUUUACUGAGCAUGAGAAAAUACAAAUCCAUCAUAAACCUUCUGACACAUGUUUUAUUUCUUACACAAAAUGUAUCAGAGACGUGUCACUACAAAGAGGGUCUUUGGCUAUAAAGAAUGUGGGGAGGGGCUCCCCUGGUGGCGCAGGCGGUUGAGCUCCAACGCUGUGAAGUUGUCCGCAGCCUCUGCAGUGCCAGUUUGAUCCCGGCCGGCGGCCGAGCGUCCCACUUGGUGCAGCAGACCUCUCCUGUCUCGCCCGCUGCUCCCCUCAGCAGUGUAUUUCAUCAGUCUGCCUGUUCUGUUCCCCACUCUGUCUCUGGUGGAUCCUCUCACCCUCUCAUUCAUCUGGCCUGUACACCUGUUCUUCUAUAAAUAAAUAAAUCUUAAAAAAAAGAAAAAAGAAUGUGGGAAACCUUUCUCAUGGAAGACUGACCUCAGUGUACAUCAAAACUCACACAGUGUGCCUCCUUGGUGGCGCAGGGAUUUAAGACAGACCUGUCAAGCUAUCAACAGCCACUGUAGCAUGAGUUCAAUCCCCAGCCAACCAGGGAGUAUACCACAUGGUGCACGAAACCUCUCCUGCCUUGACUGCUGCUCCCCACUCUGGGAAAUCCUCUCACCCCCGCACCUCUGGCUUACACCCCAGCUCUUAUAUGUAUAAAUAAAAAAAUCUUUUUUUUUUUAAGAUUUUAUUAUUUAUACAAGCACUGGGUACACUCAGAAGCAUGGGAGGGUGAGAGAAUUCACUAGAGCCACAGUGGGGAGCAGAACAGGCAGACUGACGAAGUACAGUACUGCUGAGGGGAGCAGCAGGUGUGGCAGGAGAGGUCUGUGCUCCAUGUGGGACCCUCGCUGGCGGCUGGGGAUUGAACUGGCGCUGCAGAGGCUGUGGGCAGCUUCGCAGCCCAGCACUCAACUGCUGCGCCACCGGGGAGGCCCUAAAUAAAAAAAUCCUUAAAAAAAAAAAAAAAGCAGGAGUGAAGCAUUAUAAAUGUAAAGGCUAUAAGAAAUUGUUCUGACACAAGUCAGAUCUGAUUGUUCAUCAGACAACUCAUGCAGCAUAAAAACCCUAUGAGUGUCGAAAGUAUACGAAAACAUUCUACAGGAAAUCACGCCUCAUUUUAUAUCGGAAAGUCACACUGGAGCCAAACCCUAUGAAUGUUGAGACUUAGGAAAUGUUCAGUACGAUGGUUGACUUUUUAACAGUCUUAUUUGUAUACUUUUUAAGUCUUAUUUAGGAUAUUAUGAAGAAGUGGUGAAUGUAAUUCAGCACUAAUUCACUUCAUACUGUGGCUUUCUCCCCUUGUGUAUGUGAAGUCAUGCGUUUGCUUUUUUGCUGCUUUAAGCAUCUGAGAGACCCUCCUAGUAGAUGGAUUUGUUCAUAUCUAACUUGCAGGUAAAUUUAGGACAGUAAUGUGCCAUGUGUCAAGAAAAUCUAAAUGAAGAUGCUACUUCUGCUGGACUCAAAACAUUGAUCUAAAUUACCAAGACGAGUAUAGGCAUUAUUGUGAUAAAAGUCAGACACAGGAACAUGCUGGGGUUCAAAACAUUGCAUCAAUUUCUCCUUAAGAAAAUAUACUGACAGCUGAUUAAAAUCAUGAUAGUAAUAGAGAUCAUUAAUAUUAUUUGAUGUUUCCAAAAGAAAUCUUCAUAGGCACAUGAUGAGAGAACAAGUUACUUUCCAAUAACAGAGCAUAGAAUUGUGAGUGAGCACAUUAGCUAAGUAAUGAAGCUCCCUGUUGACCACCAACUCUGGGAUCCAGGAAGCAGAAGAACAAGAAUGUUUCUUAAAUGUCUGUGUCUUGAUUUUGACCAAAGAGCAUACACUGGUAUCUGAAUAUUUAGACUACAUGUGAACUUAAUAUAUGUUUUAAUAAAGCUGAUUUUUUAAAAAGAUUUAUUUAUGCAUACAAG